rnacentral:lncRNA from 1 species
CCCACACACACACGGAGGCAGCCGCGGAGCCGGGAGGAUGAGGGGGGCGAGGGACCGAGCGAGAAGGAGAGGACUGGGCGGCUUGCCUAGGGCUUCCCGCCACUGAGGCCAAGUUCCUCAGGCCGGAUAGGGAGCGGGCCCGGUCCGGAACUCGGCGGGAUGAUCUUCUCACUUGAUCCCGGAGAUCCACGGAUUAGGGUAGGCCUCGUUUCCCUACGAGAGGCUGGAGCGGCCUGGUUCCAGGCCCUGUUGAUUCCUGGGUUCGGGACGGGAGUGGACCCGGAGGCCUCCUCCCUUAGGCAGGGAGAAGUGGGGGCGACUCAGUCCCCUUAGCGUCUCGAGACCGCCUCCGCCCUGGCUUGCCGCGCCUGCGGCCUCCGAUCUGCCCCGGCUCCUAGCGAGAUGUUUAUCUCCGCGGCUCCUGCUCCUCCCUCCCCCUCGGGAGGGUUCUGGGCCUUUCCAUGUAUUUUUUUUUUUAAUCUUAUCUGGGAUUCCUCCACUUCUCCCCCCCCCCUUCAAACAAGAGAGAGAAGAAAACAAAGAAGAAUAAGAGACGACAAUAGCCUUUGAACCACGGGAUCAGAGUUUGUCAGCACAAUGGAAAUGGAAUGAAAUUUCUUUUCAUCUUACGGGUUUCCGAAGACCCAUCUAAUCUUUCUGUUAUACCAUUUCUCUCCUUUAUACUCCUAUUCUAAAAAGACACAAGCAUUUUGAAUCAAUAAAAGGGUAUACUUUAGAUCUUGGUAAUAGCUGAAUAAAUAAAAGUGUAAUUGAGGUUAUUUUUGGAAAAUGAGAUUGUGAGAUUAAAAGUGAAAAGCUAGAAGAAAAUAUUUGGAAACUAACUAAAAGGUCUUUCUUUCAGAUGUAUGCAGGGGAUAAAAACAAGUUGUCUUUUUUAAAUGUCGAAAUUUGGGGAACAGUUCAACACAGUGAAUGGGCUUUUCUUUGGUGUAAGGCCUUGGUGAUCUCUUGGCAUCAUUUGUAUAUGUGAUAAAAAAAAAAGGCUUUGAAUGGGAAUAAUUUUGUACUAGACAUCUGGAAACAUUUUCGUUCUAAAGUGAUACUAGUAAGUAAAAAAUGGUAAGUACAAGGAAAAAAUACUUUUUGUUUUGUUUUUGCUUGUAUUCUAAAACUGUUGAAUUUCACAUCCUAGAUGAGUAGAAGUAAUAAUUCUAUUCCAUAUUUGUGAACUGUGAAAAUUAUUUCAAAGUAAUGUUAAGUAUGUAAAAAAAAAUUUUUUUUGCAUGUCUCGUUUCCUUAUGGACUUGAAUUACCUGGAACCUUUCCUUGAACAGAAAAGAUUUAUUUCUUUACAGAAGAGAUCUUCACUUCUGUUUGAAUUGCUUUUGAAGUCCCAUUUGGUGGAAUGAAAAGACUUAACACUAACUGGAUUAAACAAGUUUACUUGUCAGAUUGGUAUGUGGAUAAAAGAGAAGAAUAAAAUAGUUCAUUGUAGUACAUAACAUGAUACAUCUUAAAGCGGUUUGAAAUUUUUCCAGCCUUCACUAAUGAACAUAUGGGGUGUGACUAUAAAAUAAUGAAACUAUUUUCUUCCUGGUAUUUGUGGAGACAGUCUUAUUUCUUUAUAGUCAUAAAUGUUUUGUUGGUAUGACAGCUAAAAGAAGCCAUGAUGAAUUCUUUCAUCUAAUGUCUUUUUUGCCUUUGAAAAAGUGUUAUGGUAUACUUGUGGUAGUUUAACAUCAGUUACACAAUUGAGGAGACAAUGAGACUGCUCCUUUGGGAAAAGCCAUUGUUUACAGAUGUCUGUUCACUUGGGAAAUCUUCCUUUUGUGGCUGAGUUCUAUAUGAAUUAAUUCUUCAAAACUGCUGUUCAUUUUUUUUCCUAAUUUAUUUAGGACAUAAAGACAAUAGUUCAAAAUAGCUAAUCUUCAUUUUAGAAACUUGUUUCUCCCUGAGCCUCAUGGAACAUCCUAAAUGAAAUUACAACUUUAUUUUUAAAACCAGUGUCAGAAUCCUUGAUUAUUAUAAUUAUAAUGUUUUGAUGAAAUUUUGCCUAGUUUUUCGAUUGUACUGAUUUAGGUUUCACUGUCAUUCCAUUAUGUGGAAUGGAUUUGAUGUCUUAAGGAAUAUUAUUGAAAUAUAACUUUGCUACUUAUGAAUUCUAGCCUAAUUGAUUAGGAAAACUGUUUAAAAGAGAAAAAGUUUCUAUUUCCCAGUAUUUUUGCAUUGGAUGAAAAAGCUUAAUACAGACCGGUACAUAUAUGAAGCUAAGAUUUUAUUGGAGCACAGUACAAGCAGCAUUCAAAAAAAUCCCUUGACUUUAACAAUUUAAAAUGUAAUCUAUUAAAAUGGAAAAGCUUAGUACUAAAGAGCAAGGUGCGUUAGGACCAAGUAUACCAUUUUUCAUCUUUAUGUAACACAUUUCCUUGUUGACAAAUACAGUAGGAACCCUUGUGAUUUCAGUGAGUCAGUUACAUAUUCUCAAUUGCCCAUACUAUACAUUCUUUAAUUCAGGAAUAAUUGAUUCUUAAAAAUCAAGGCACUAAAAGGAAACUUACUUGUGUAUUCAGGUUAUUGGUCUAUAAGCUGAGAUUGUAUAUAUUAUAGAGAUAUUUUUCAGGCACUGGUUGGACUGAAUGAUAUAAUUGGAACUAUAUGGUGCUAGGACAAUUAGUCAUUGCCCAGAUAGCGUAGAAGAAAUAUUUUAAUCUUAAUUGCCAGUCCCCUGGCAUCUGGUGGUUGGUUACUGUAUGGGCUUCCACUUCUAGCCAUAACCAAAAAGAAAUAAAGGAAAAAGCCACACUCUCAUGCUAUCUUUAAAUAGUAGUGAGAUGUCAGCAAAGAAAAAGAGCUCUUCAUUCCAAAGUGUUCUAAGGACUUAUUUUAUAUCAGAG